rnacentral:tRNA from 1 species
GGGCGCGUAGCUCAGUGGGAGAGCGCUGCCUUCACACGGCAGAGGUCGCAGGUUCAAAACCUGCCGCGCCCACCA